rnacentral:rRNA from 1 species
GUGUAUGGCCAUACCACCCUGAGCAUGCCUGAUCUCAUCUGACCUCGGAAGAGAAGCAGGAUUGGGCCUGGUUAGUACUUGGGUGGGAGGCCUAAUGAAUAAGGAGGCUGAGCAUC